rnacentral:rRNA from 1 species
CGCAGUUCGCUGGCGGCGUGCCUUUUUCAUGCCGGUCCUGCGUUUUUUCUUUUGGGCUUCUUUUUUCUGCUGCUCUGCCGAGUGGUGUUCUUCUUCGUCUGACUUAUUGCCGGGUUGUAGCUGCUCUUCACUGCACUCCACAUUCUCUUUCGUGAGUUGCCUUCACUAAAUAGAUUGUGACCUUCGGGCCUCAGCAUUUUUUACAUCCCCGGUGAGCUCCUCCCUAGUUGGUUUAGUUAUGUGGUGAGGUAACGGCUCACCCUAGCUGCUCUGCAAAGAUGACCUGAGAGGGUGAUACUGAGACCUGGGAAUGAGACUACGCCCAGGCUCCUACGGGGAAUAUUGCAAGGUGAAUCUUCGGCCUGAUGCCAACAUGCGACCGAGCAGCGCCGCGUGAGUGAAUUAUGUUAUCUUUCGUGAACUCUGUUGGUAUAGAAUUACAAGGAUGAUUCUAUGAUGUUCAUCCCUUGACGGUAUCUAACUAACUAGCUACCGCUAACUACGUGCCUACAGACGCGGUAAUAGUUAAGUGGCAUUCGUGGUCCAGAUUUAUUGGGGCGUAAAGCUAGCGCAUCCGUUUUCUUAAGUCUGAUGUCAAAGCCCCGGCUCAUCUGAGGAUGGUCAUUGGAACUGUGAGACUUGAGUGAAAAUAGGAGAGUGGAAUUCCAUGUGUAGCGGUGAAAUGCGAAGAUAUAUGGAGGAACACCAGUGCGAACGCGGCUCUCUGU